ensembl:snRNA predicted gene, 26249
GUGCCAUAUGAAAGGAGAGAAGUUCCACUUCCUUGACAAAGAUGGAAGAAGCCCCUGGGUCCUUGGGUUUAAUAACACACAUACUGUUAAGGUAUUGUUGUAAUACAUUCCUGGACUCAGGGAUGCACAGAGUACAGUUUUAG